rnacentral:rRNA from 1 species
AUGAAGGAUUUAGGAGUGGCUGAUGUCAUUCUGAACAUCAAGUUGUUGAGAGUUGAUGAUGGUGGGAUUACAUUGCUUCAAUCUCACUAUGUGGAAAAGAUCUUGAGUCGCUUUGGCUAUAGUGACUGCAAACCCUCUCCAACACCAUAUGAUGCUAGCGUGCUACUUCGAAAGAAUCGAAGAAUUGCUAGAGAUCAAUUGAAGUAUUCUCAGAUUAUUGGCUCCCUUAUGUACUUAGCCAGUGCUACAAGACCUGACAUCUCUUUUGCAGUUAGCAAACUGAGUCGGUUUGUUUCAAAACCAGGAGAUGUGCAUUGGAAAGCUCUAGAGAGAGUUCUGCGUUAUUUGAAAGGCACUGCAAAUUAUGGAAUUCACUACACUGGGCAUCCAAAGGUGCUUGAAGGGUAUAGUGACUCAAACUGGAUCUCAGAUGCUGAUGAGAUAAAGGCCACGAGCGGUUAUGUAUUCACUCAUGGAGGUGGCGCUGUUUCUUGGAAGUCUUGCAAGCAGACCAUCUUAACAAGGUCAACAAUGGAAGCAGAACUCACAACACUA